rnacentral:rRNA from 1 species
UGGGGAAUUGUUCACAAUGGGCGCAAGCCUGAUGACGCAACGCCGCGUGGGGGAUGAAGGUCUUCGGAUUGUAAACCCCUGUCGAACGGGACGAAAGACUCGGGAGCUAAUCAUCUCGAGAGUGACGGUACCGUUAAAGGAAGCCACGGCUAACUCUGUGCCAGCAGCCGCGGUAAUACAUAGGUGGCAAGCGUUGUUCGGAAUUACUGGGCGUAAAGGGCGAGUAGGUGGCCAUCUAAGUCAGACGUGAAAUCCCCCGGCUUAACCUGGGAACUGCGUCUGAUACUGGACGGCUUGAGUAUGGGAGAGGGAGGUAGAAUUCCAGGUGUAGCGGUGAAAUGCGUAGAUAUCUGGAGGAAUACCGGUGGCGAAGGCGGCCUCCUGGACCAUUACUGACACUGAUCCGCGAAAGCUAGGGGAGCAAACGGGAUUAGAUACCCCGGUAGUCCUAGCCCUAAACGAUGAAUGCUUGGUGUGGCGGGUAUCGGAUCCCUGCCGUGCCGAAG